rnacentral:rRNA from 1 species
CCUACGGGGUGCAGCAGUGAGGAAUAUUGGUCAAUGGACGAGAGUCUGAACCAGCCAAGUAGCGUGAAGGAUGACUGCCCUAGGGGUUGUAAACUUCUUUUAUAUGGGAAUAAAAUGUUCCACGUGUGGGAUUUUGUAUGUACCAUAUGAAUAAGGAUCGGCUAACUCCGUGCCAGCAGCCGCGGUAAUACGGAGGAUCCGAGCGUUAUCCGGAUUUAUUGGGUUUAAAGGGAGCGUAGGUGGAUUGUUAAGUCAGUUGUGAAAGUUUGCGGCUCAACCGUAAAAUUGCAGUUGAAACUGGCAGUCGUGAGUACAGUAGAGGUGGGCGGAAUUCGUGGUGUAGCGGUGAAAUGCUUAGAUAUCACGAAGAACUCCGAUUGCGAAGGCAGCUCACUGGACUGCAACUGACACUGAGGCUCGAAAGUGUGGGUAUCAAACAGGAUUAGAUACCCCUGUAGUC